rnacentral:misc_RNA from 1 species
UCCGAUUUGUCACCGGCAGUCUCCCAUGAGUCCCCACCCGAAGUGAUGGCAACAUAGGACAGGGGUUGCGCUCGUUGCGGGACUUAACCCAACAUCUCACGACACGAGCUGACGACGGCCAUGCAACAGCUGUCACUUGGCUCAAUAAAGCACUCACUGCUUUCACAGUAAUUCCAAGGAUGUCAAACCCUGGUAAGGUUCUUCGCGUUGCGUCGAAUUAAAGAACACGAUCCACCGCUUGUGCGGGUCCCCGUCAAUUCCUUUAUGUUUUAGUCUUGCGACCGUACUCCACAGGCGGGAUACUUAACGCGUUAGCUUCGCUACUGGAGGGGUCGAUACCUCCAACAGCUAGUAUCCAUCGUUUACGGCGUGGACUAC